rnacentral:rRNA from 1 species
ACGCUCACACCUACGGGAGGCAGCAGUGGGGAAUAUUGCACAAUGGGGGAAACCCUGAUGCAGCGACGCCGCGUGAGUGAAGAAGUAUUUCGGUAUGUAAAGCUCUAUCAGCAGGGAANAAAUGACGGUACCUGACUAAGAAGCCCCGGCUAACUACGUGCCAGCAGCCCGGUAAUCUGAGCGGGCUGGCAAGGC